AGGACGAACGCUGGCGGCGUGCUUAACACAUGCAAGUCGAGCGGUAAGGCUCCUUCGGGAGUACACGAGCGGCGAACGGGUGAGUAACACGUGAGCAAUCUGCCCUUCACACUGGGAUAACCUUCGGAAACGAGGACUAAUACCGGAUACGACCACCUCAGACAUCUGAUGGUGGUGGAAAGCUCCGGCGGUGAAGGAUGAGCUCGCGGCCUAUCAGCUUGUUGGUGAGGUAACGGCUCACCAAGGCUUCGACGGGUAGCCGGCCUGAGAGGGUGACCGGCCACACUGGGACUGAGACACGGCCCAGACUCCUACGGGAGGCAGCAGUGGGGAAUAUUGGACAAUGGGCGAAAGCCUGAUCCAGCAACGCCGCGUGAGGGAUGACGGCCUUCGGGUUGUAACCUCUUUCAGCAGGGACGAAGCGAAAGUGACGGUACCUGCAGAAGAGCGACCGCCAACUACGUGCCAGCGAGCCGCGGU
rnacentral:rRNA from 1 species